AAAUAAAGACUAGAAGGGACAGCUGCCUCUGCGGCAUACGUGAACUGCGCCGCCAUUGAACCACAGUCAAGGACUGUGGUUGUUUACAUGGGACCCUAUGGCGGAAUCGUGUAGUUGGGUGCUUUCGUGCUCUAUUACAUGAAAUUAAAGGGGUGCAGGGAGAUUUCGGAUAGAGUCCCAUGAACAAAAUUCAUCAGAGAAAACGUUGAAACUCAUUUUGGUUCUGAAGCUCAGCUCACCAGUGGAUGCCAGAAGAUGCAAACAAGAAGUUGUAUUUUUUGGAUUCCACUUCCAGGUACCUAUAGCUGUCAAGUGUCGAGCAGCCCAGUAUUGCCCCAUGGGUAUAUACGAGUACUGCCUUGGCCCCAUGCAGUAUUCCUAAGGAUCAUCAGGAAAGUAAGGAGUGGCGAGGAAGAGGCUGUUCUACCCUGGUCAGACACACAGCAAAGCUGACACAGCCAGCAGAGCUCUGCAACAGCAAUGGGUCUGCUACCACUUGGUUGAAAGCAUCCUGGCUUCUGGAACGAUAAGACUGGGCUGCAGCAGCAGCUGCAGCUCUGUUGGCGCUGUUGGUUGACGAGUGACAGUCUAAGUCGGCCUCGGUUG